GCACUGUCAAUAAUUUGCUCAUCUUUGCAUUCAGUUUAGUGCCGGGACAUUCAAAUAGGAAUUCCUUAUAAUAAUCCUAUAGAGUAUAGGAAUUCCUUUAGGAUUGUAUAUGAAUUCGUUUAGGAGUGUAUAGAAAUUCCUUUAGAAUCAAAAAGGAAUUCCUAUACAAUCCUAAAGGAAUCCCUAUAGAAUCCUAAAGGAAUUCCUAUAGAAUCCUAAAGAAUUUUUU